rnacentral:lncRNA from 1 species
GGCUGCGGGCCACAGGGACACACACAGAGGCCACCAGGAGGACGCAGCACUUGGCAACACACUCGAGAUUUGUUUUCGUUUUGGCUUUUUUGUGUUUUGAUUUUUUUUCCUUUUUUCUCUUUUGCAACCAGUGCAGAGCAUGGGAUCCUCGGCACCCAUCGCGAUAUGGUGGUGGCAGCAGUCAGAGCUCAUUUCAUGCUCGCUCGCCAGCACUAACACCUCUGUAGGCACACCACAACUCCUGACAACAGCCACACCCCGCUUGAUCUACAUGCAAACACACACACUUAGCAGCCAGACCUGCAGCUUGCACUGGGGCAUCUUGCAGCUCGGCAUGACAUGGCCCAGACACAGCCCCAGGUUGCCUGAGUCUCUAAGAAGCCUGGUAGUCUGAACCGCAGGAACUUCAGAACACAUGUCCUCCACCGCCUCCCGUUCAGAGGCCCAGAGUGGGAGAGGUGUAUGUCCCAUGUCCUAGGCCACCAGGGAGAGAGCACACUGGUGUGAGGCCAGCCUGUCGUAUGACCUGGGACAAGUCCCUGUCCCUCUCUGGGCCUAUGAACUGAU